GUUAGUGGCGUAAUGGUUAGUAAUAAAUAUGUAACGUNACCUUUGCUCAGGGAUAGCGUCCCGAAAGGGGCUGUAUACCUGAUAAUAUCAUAAAUCUCAAGUUUAUGAUCAAAGAUUAUCGGCAUUGGAGCGGGCUAUUCCUAUCAGCUUGUUGGUGAGGUAAUGGCUCACCAAGGCAAUGACGGGUAGCGGGACUGAGAGGUUUGGCCGCAACAUCGGGACUGAGACACUGCCCGGACCUCCACGGAGGGCUGCAGUAACGAAUAUUGCGUAAUGGGCGAAAGCCUGACGCAGCGACGCCGCGUGUAGGAGGAAGUCCCUCGGGAUGUAAACUACUGUCAGGGGAAAGAAAGAGUACUUCGGUACUUUGAUCUAUCCCACAGGAAGUCACGGCUAACUUCGUGCCAGCAGCCGCGGUAAGACGAAGGUGGCGAGCGUAAUUCGGUGUCACUGGGCUUAAAGAGUAUGUAGGCGGAAAUGACAGCGUAUUGUGAAAUCCCUCGGCUUAACCGAGGAAUUGCAGAGCGAACUUCAUUUCUUGAGGCAAGUAAGGGUGUACGGAACUCUAAGGUGGAGCGGUGGAAUGCGUAGAUAUCUAGAGGAACGCCGAUGGAGAAAUCAGUGCACUAGGCUUGUCCUGACGCUGAGAUACGAAAGCGUGGGGAGCAAACAGGAUUAGAUACCCUGGUAGUCCACGCCGUAAACGAUGUCAAC
rnacentral:rRNA from 1 species